CGCCUGCCCCGUGACCCAAAAAGUUUAACCGCCGCCGUAUUUUGACCGUGCCAAGGUAGCGUAAUCACUUGUCUUUUAAAUGAAGACCGGUAUGAAUGGCAACACGAGGGCUCAGCUGUCUCCCGCCUCCAGUCAAUGAAAUUGAUCUGCCCGUGCAGAAGCGGACAUAACAACAUAAGACGAGAAGACCCUGUGGAGCUUAAGCACAAGGCCAACCAUGCCAAACAUCCCACCCAAAGGCAUAAGCACAACAACCACUGGCCACACAUGCUUCGGUUGGGGCAUCCGCGGAGAAAAAUCAAACCUCCAUGUGGACCAAGGAUACAAUCCUCAAAACCAAGAGACACAGCUCUAAGCAGCAGAAAAUCUGACCAAAAGACCCAGGCCAACACGCCUGAUCAACGAACCAAGUUACCCCAGGGAUAACAGCGCAAUCCUCUCCCAGAGUCCAUAUCGACGAAAGGGUUUACGACCUCGAUGUUGGAUCAGGACAUCCUAAUGGUGCAGCCGCUAUUAAGGGUUCGUUUGUUCAA
rnacentral:rRNA from 1 species